rnacentral:rRNA from 1 species
AGCGAACGCUGGCGGCAUGCCUAACACAUGCAAGUCGAACGAGACCUUCGGGUCUAGUGGCGCACGGGUGCGUAACGCGUGGGAAUCUGCCCUUUGCUUCGGAAUAACACAGAGAAAUUUGUGCUAAUACCGGAUAAUGUCGCAAGACCAAAGAUUUAUCGGCAAAGGAUGAGCCCGCGUAGGAUUAGGUAGUUGGUGGGGUAAUGGCCUACCAAGCCGACGAUCCUUAGCUGGUCUGAGAGGAUGAUCAGCCACACUGGGACUGAGACACGGCCCAGACUCCUACGGGAGGCAGCAGUGGGGAAUAUUGGACAAUGGGCGAAAGCCUGAUCCAGCAAUGCCGCGUGAGUGAUGAAGGCCUUAGGGUUGUAAAGCUCUUUUACCAGGGAUGAUAAUGACAGUACCUGGAGAAUAAGCUCCGGCUAACUCCGUGCCAGCAGCCGCGGUAAU